rnacentral:rRNA from 1 species
UACGGAAGGGGCAAGCGUUGUCCGGAAUCAUUGGGCGUAAAGCGCGUGUAGGCGGUUCGGUAAGUCCGCUGUGAAAGUCGGGGGCUCAACCCUCGAAUGCCGGUGGAUACUGUCGGACUAGAGUACGGAAGAGGCGAGUGGAAUUCCUGGUGUAGCGGUGAAAUGCGCAGAUAUCAGGAGGAACACCAAUUGCGAAGGCAGCUCGCUGGGACGUUACUGACGCUGAGACGCGAAAGCGUGGGGAGCAAACAGG